GACGAACGCUGGCGGCGUGCCUAACACAUGCAAGUCGAACGGAGAUAUGAUUUCGGUUGUAUCUUAGUGGCGAACGGGUGAGUAACGCGUGAGCAACCUGACCUUCAGAGGCGGAUAACACCUGGAAACAAGUGCUAAUACCGCAUACGACCACGACCCGACAGCGCGAUGAGGUCAAAGGAGCAAUCCGCUGAGGGAGGGGCUCGCGUCCCAUUAGAUAGAUGGCGGGGUAACGGCCCACCAUGUCGACGAGGGGUAGCCGAGCUGAGAGGCUGAUGGGCCACACUGGAACUGAGACACGGUCCAGACUCCUACGGGAGGCAGCAGUGGGGAAUAUUGGGCAAUGGGCGCAAGCCUGACCCAGCAACGCCGCGUGAGGGAAGAAGGCUUUCGGGUUGUAAACCUCUGUCCUUGGUGACGAAAAAAAUGACGGUAGCCAAGGAGGAAGCCCCGGCUAACUACGUGCCAGCCGCCGCCGUAA
rnacentral:rRNA from 1 species